GGGGGGGGGGGGGGCAAGGCUGCUGGGUGAGCUGGGUGAGCUGCCAACGUUCUCUAUUGUGUGAGGUGUGAGGGACCGUGCCUCCCCCGGCGCGCGUCCCGUUUCCCGGAAGUGCCAGUAUCCGCUGUGGGCGAGCGCGGGGCUUAUGGCCCCGCGGCAGCGUCCGCGCCACCCGAGGAGGCAGGCGCGCGGGUUGUCGCUGUUUCAGGAGCCUAGAGCCUGUCGGGUAACCGGCCGAAUGGGCUCCACCCCGGCUCUAGAGCCUUCCGAGAAGGGGCUGCGGCUGUGGCGGGGCUCAGCACUAACUCAGACCAUGUGGACCGCAGAUGAGAUUGCCCAGCUGUGUUAUGAGCACUAUAGGACCAGGCUGCCCAAGCAGGGGAAGCCUGAGCCCAACCGUGAGUGGACAUUACUAGCAGCCGUGGUGAAGAUAAAACCUGCAGCUGACCAGGCCUGCGGCGGCACUAACAAACCAACACAAGUGACAAAGGAAGUUGUCUCAAUGGGAACAGGAACGAAAUGCAUAGGCCAGUCCAAAAUGAGGAAGAGCGGAGACAUCCUCAAUGAUAGCCAUGCUGAGGUCAUAGCCAGGAGGAGUUUCCAAAGGUACCUUCUCCAUCAGCUCCACUUGGCGGCCGCCCUGAAGGAGGAUAGCAUCUUUGUCCCCGGAACUCAGAGAGGGCUGUGGAAACUCAGACCAGACCUCUUGUUUGUGUUUUUCUCCAGCCAUACGCCCUGUGGGGAUGCCUCCAUCAUUCCAAUGCUUGAGUUUGAAGAUCAGCCCUGCUGUCCUAUCCAUAGAGAUUGGGCCAAUAACCCAUUAGUAGAAGCCAGUAGUGACCUGGAAGAUCCUGAAGAUAAAAAGAAAUGUGAAGACUUGGGUAGUCCUGUGACCAAAAAGAUGAGGCCUGAGCCUGGGAUUCCUGACAUUGUGGCCCACCAUCAGAGUUUUGGCCAUCAGGAAAGUGGCCAAGUCCCACCAAGUGUCAGUGGCUCUCAUCUUACUGCAGAGGAACUGGCCACUGUCACCGGAAUGGCCCCCAGUGGUGCCAAAGUAGUGGACGUUUAUAGAACCGGAGCCAAAUGUGUGCCGGGAGAAGCUGGAGACUCGGGGAAGCCUGGUGCUGCGUAUCACCAGGUGGGGCUGCUCCGAGUGAAGCCCGGCCGGGGAGACCGGACUUGCUCCCUGUCCUGCAGUGACAAGCUGGCCCGGUGGAACGUCCUCGGAUGCCAGGGGGCACUGUUGAUGCACCUUCUAGAAGAGCCCGUCUACCUGUCAGCCGUGGUGAUUGGGAGGUGCCCAUACAGCCAGGAGGCCAUGCAGAGAGCUCUGACCGGGAGGUGUCGGAAUGUCUCAGCGCUACCCAGAGGCUUUGGAGUUCAAGAAGUGAAAAUAGAGCAGUCAGGUUUCCUGUUUGAACAGAGCCGCUGCGCAGUGCAGGCCAAAAGGGCUGACGGCCCGGGCCGACUUGUUCCUUGUGGUGCAGCCAUCAGCUGGAGCGCAGUUCCUGAGCAGCCACUGGAUGUCACUGCCAAUGGUUUUCCGCAGGGAACAACGAAGAAAGCAAUCAGGUGCCUUCAGGCCAGAGAGAAGAAUGUUGGAACCAUUUACAGAACUGGUCUCAAGAAGCUGUUAAGCUCACACUGAUGGCUUCUUACAGUGACCCUGGAGGCCUUGACAUUUCUCUACAAUGUUGGUGAUCCCGGAUCAGCAAAGUGGAACUCUUUAGAUCAUUUCAGAGACUGCUAAGCAGUAUUUCAGAGGACAAGUGGCCAGACUCCCUCAGGUGAUGCUGUAGACACCAUGUUGUUUUGAAACUCUAGGAAGCUUGGGGUUAAUUCUGGCUUACGAAUGGCAGGAGUCCGUGGGCACUUAAUUACCACCCGUGCACUCCUCUCUCCCUGGGGCUCUGAUUGCAAACUCAGAUGUGAGGUGUGCAGGGUGGGUUGCUUAGUCGUGCAGAGUUACAGAGGACUGGAGCGGGGGGACUUGGGGCUUGGCCCGUUCCAGGCUCUCCUUUCACCUUCCUCCAGAGGGAGAGCAAGGCAGAUACAUGAGUGUGUGGGGAGCAAUAACGUCUGUUAGGAACAUCACUCUCUUCUCUUUCUCUUUUGUUCACAUCAGUGGUUGUGAGCUGCAGCUUCACGAUUGAAAUUGCUUCCAAGCAGGAGCAUAGAGAACUCUAAAACUGCUCUGGGGGCAGGUGGGUGGGGGCAGUUCAGACACUAAAUACCCAAGGUCAUUGCCCUCACUUCCUACACAGACGCAAGCUGCUCACACUUCCGACCACUGCCUACAAACUCAGGGUUUCCCACUACCCCCUUAGGUUCAUUUGUUCUCUGGAACAACUGAUGAAUUCAGGAAAGCAUUAUACUGAACAAUUACUUUGUAAUGUAAAGAAUAUGAAUCAGGACCAGCUAAAAGAAGGGACACGUAGGGCAAGGUCUGAGAAGGUCCCAAACAACUCGUCUAUGUCCUCAGGAUGUGUCACCACCCCCCCCAGCACAUCACUCUGUAUCUCCAGCCAGAAGGGGGACCCAAGUUUCGGUGUACAGAGGUUUUACUGUGGUUUCAUUACGUCAGCCUGACUGAAUAGUUUGCCACGUGAUGUGACUGAACUCAUUCACCAUCUCCCCCUCAGGUCAGGAGGUCAGACUGAUAGCACAGACCCCACUGGACUCUGUGGUUAGUCUUUCUGGCAUGGCCAGCUCCAUCCUGAUCUGUCUCAGGCCCACCAGGAGUCGCCUCAUUAAGUGUAAACUCAGGUGUGGUCAGAGGGGCCCACCAUGAAGAACAAAGACAUUCCUACCCCCGGGGAAAUUGAGAGGGUGUGGUGGUUCCCUCGCAGCAACUGGCAACAAGACCUGCCAAAUUCUUUAUCGUACAGCCAUGGGGAAGGUAAGGUAUUGCUAGAAACUUCUCUAUGAAGAAGUUGGCCCCUUGUUAACUACCGUGCAUACUGCAGUCGGUAAUGAUGUCCUGCAGUCAGUUUGGUCAGUGGUCUGUUUGCUCAUUUUUUGUCUGGAAAAAUGAAUCAAACUGACCAGGGGGUUCCAGACAUUUUGUGUGUCAGUGAAAACAAAUCUGAACUAAGAUCAGGGGAGACUUUAUUCAAAAGGAUCAUUGCAGUUAGAGAGGGGCUGUUAAAGCCACAGCAGGACUGAUGCCAAAGCGAGGACACGGAGGUCGUAUGGUUUGUAAGCGUCUAGGGCGGGCGGGAAGGAGUCUUCCUUUCUGGGGAGCAGUGAGCAAGGCUAGAAAGAACUGGGCAGGGAACAUGGGAUGCACAGUCAGUGUGAGGGGACAGGUGGAUAGGAAAUGUCUUUUCUUGAAAUCAGUCUGUUCUCGGUGGGGUGGGGGGGUAGUUUGUUAAGAAGGGGUCACUACACAUUCUGAUGCGCACUCACGCUGAGGAGGGGUCAGAGUUCAGGGCCUGGGAGAAGGACAGAAGCAUAACUAAUGUUGGUCAAGGAAGCAAGAAUUUUGUCCAGAUUGGUGUGUGGGUAGUUCAGCUAGUCAUUGAGACAGAAUGGGAGUUUGGAGGGUCCGUCAUAGGUAGACCGAAGGGGCAUCCAUGAGUCUUAUAGGGAAGGGGACUUCUUUGCAGUAAGCCAUUUCCCAGAACACUUUAAACCAAAAAGUAGUUAUUCCUGUUUUAUCUGAUUCCACCAGGAGCAGACAAGACUAGCAUUGUUUAUUAUCACUUGUUUCAAUUCAUGUUGCUUUCUGGUGAAUUUCCUGCAAUGGAGAGAGAGUUGCUAUAGGAAAGCAUACCAAAAUCUUCCCGUUCCGAGGUCUGUUCCUAGGUCUCUGUUAGAAAUCUGUCCGGCUGCUGGCUCAGUUGGCCAGCAUGCUGAGCUGAUCCCUGAGAGCCUGUGUGCUUGCUGGUGUGUGCCUUAGGAUGCGGAAGCUGGAGACGUACCACGAAUACAAGGAGGCUGCAUCUGCUUACCAGGAAGCCUGGACUGUGCUUCGAGAGCAGGCCUUCGGAUCCUGGAUCAGACACCCACCGGAUUAUGACCAGUUCAAAUAAGAAGGGCAAACUGCAACACGCUUGUUGGCAGCAGAGUGUUUUCCAGCUCUUCAUACUGGACUGCUGCUUCCUUUGUUUUCUUGCGGCCUUAGCGUUUCUUGCGGCCGCGUCAGGGAAAAAAGAAAAAUAAAAGGUCUGCUAUCUACCAGAGCGACCUAUCUCUUCGGACAGAAUUCUGGAUCACGGAACAAUCUAUCCUUGAUUGAAGUAGCUCCCUCUGCUAACAUGGCAUCUGGCUGAUGACCUUGGCAUCUGUCCUAACUUGUGUGUUACUGCUUCUCUAAAAUAUGGAAUAAGAAUUUGGAAUGUGAUGCUUUAAAAGGAUUCUGCAGUAGCUCCAUUCUGUGUGUUCCUACAUUGAUUUGGCAGGUAUUUAUGGGGCUGAGAUGAUGCUCAAAUCUCUGCAAGUUUUAGAGCUUCCUUUGGCGUAGUGGACAUGUUUUGUGUACCCAGCCUUUCUUCCUUGGGGGAGCCACCCUAUCCUGCUCUGCCCAUGGAACUUGGUUGAAGCAAACCUUACUCCCUGGCUGUAGGAAUGGGAGCCAGCCCUGGACAGUCCCGGAACUGUGUGAGAGCUAGCAAGAAAGAGUCUCUCUCCUCUUGUACCAGGAACUGUAAGGGCCACCACACAGAGAUGCGGGCAGCUUGAGCAUGAAGGCAAGAACGAAGGAAACCAAAAUCGCUCCCGUGACCUUGUCCGGAUGCCAGUGCCCACCGUGGACUCCAAGUAUGUGAGAUAAAAUUGUAUUGUUGUUUUCA